AUAGGAAUCUACCUAGUAGUACGGAAUAAUUGUUGGAAACGACAACUAAUACCGUAUACGCCCUACGGGGGAAAAAUUUAUUGCUAUUAGAUGAGCCUAUAUUAGAUUAGCUAGUUGGUGGAGUAAUAGCCUACCAAGGCAAUGAUCUAUAGCUGAUCUGAGAGGAUGAUCAGCCACACUGGAACUGAGAUACGGUCCAGACUCCUACGGGAGGCAGCAGUGGGGAAUAUUGGACAAUGGGCGAAAGCCUGAUCCAGCCAUGCCGCAUGAGUGAAGAAGGCCUUUGGGUUGUAAAGCUCUUUUAGUGAGGAAGAUAAUGACGGUACUCACAGAAGAAGUCCUGGCUAACUCCGUGCCAGCAGCCGCGGUAAUACGGAGAGGGCUAGCGUUAUUCGGAAUUAUUGGGCGUAAAGGGCGCGUAGGCUGGUUAAUAAGUUAAAAGUGAAAUCCCGAGGCUUAACCUUGGAAUUGCUUUUAAAACUAUUAAUCUAGAGAUUGAAAGAGGAUAGAGGAAUUCCUGAUGUAGAGGUAAAAUUCGUAAAUAUUAGGAGGAACACCAGUGGCGAAGGCGUCUAUCUGGUUCAAAUCUGACGCUGAAGCGCGAAGGCGUGGGGAGCAAACAGGAUUAGAUACCCUGGUAGUCCACGCUGUAAACGAUGAAUGUUAAAUAUGGGAAGUUUACUUUCUGUAUUACAGCUAACGCGUUAAACAUUCCGCCUGGGGACUACGGUCGCAAGAUUAAAACUCAAAGGAAUUGACG
rnacentral:rRNA from 1 species